CGUCUGUAUACAUGUGUAAUUUCUAUUCGUUUAAAUAACUUACAAAUUGUCAAUAAUACCAGUGACUGUUUGUGGUGCUGAAACGGAUUUGAUUUUGGUAACGAAAUGGGAUUUUGUUAAUGAACCUAGUCGGUGACGAAGUGGAUUGGUGACUAUAUGGGGUGUAUCCUUACAUAUACAGUAUGUUAUGGUGGCUGGUCCAGAGGGUCUCCAGUUUGAUUGUGGAUUGUCACUGCUGUUUGACCUCGUGAUGGAAAGGUAAAUAGAUUGGUAAAGGUGGAGCAGAUGGUUAGCACCAGAAAUAUCUUGGGUAAUUAUUUGUUUUAGCACACCCUCGAAUUUUUCCAUGAGAUGUUUGAUUUCUGAUAUAUUUUGAUGUGUUAUGUUCAGAUCUGACCUUCAUUUCCAUGGGCAAUGUGUCGUUUAAAAAGAAAAGAUGCUAGUCAUCCUUGAUAAAAAACAGCUAUUUUCCAUCAAAAACGAAGGUGAUGUCCAAAAAAACAGACACCAAACAUCUAGACCCCUAACUUUCACUAAAUUAACCUACCUUAACCUAACCAAACCUAACCUCCCCUAACCCCCGCGGGGGGCCCUAACCAAGCGUUCGUGAGGUCCGGGAAGGGAGCGGAGCAGGCAGUGACACGCCUCACGGCUCCAGACAGCUCGCGGUGGGACAAGAAAUGGUGUGGAAACCCUCACUAAGACCUGCGUUACAUGAUCCAGCAGAAUACAAGCAGGUGUGGAUGUGACAUAUCCAGCAUCACCUUUACAGUAGUCAGGAAGGUAGACAAGGGAGAGAGCUGAGGACCCAACACAGAAACCCAACUUAACACCAGUCUGGGUCAAAAGUUCGUUUCCUCCCAAACUGAACCAGUAUCGACCCCAAAUGGAAUCAAACAGCACACCUGCACCAGAUGACACUCAGGGUAAGUAAUUUUAGAGACUCAUUACCUUAACUCAGUUUCACCACAGGGAACCAGCUUUUAUCUGUGACUGUACAACAGGUGAAGUGAUAAAAUUUAUGCUGGACUUAUAGAAAUUUACA